rnacentral:rRNA from 1 species
CAUAUAAUUAAGCGGAGGAAAAGAAACUAACCAGGAUUCCCCUAGUAGCGGCGAGCGAAGCGGGAGAAGCCCAAGAUGAAAAGCCUGCUUUUGCAGGCGUUGUAUCUUUUGAGUGCCCUUGGCACGUCAGUGUGGGUAAGUCGUAUGGAAUUACGUACCGCGGAGGGUGAGAGUCCCGUCCAGCCCACACACGACGCUUCCGUACAAGGGGCACUUCAGCCGAGUCGGGUAGCUUGGGAAUGCUGCUCUAAUUGGUGGUAAAUCUCAUCAAAGGCUAAAUACUGGCUGGAGACCGAUAGCGAACAAGUACCGUGAGGGAAAGGUGACAAGCACUUUGAAAAGAGGGUGAAAAGAACCUGAAACCGUCACGGGGGAAGCGAAUUGCGUUGGUCUGGUUGGGUCGCUGCGUCGUCAGCCGUUUUCUCACGGUGCAUUGGCGCAGUGGCUUAUCUGUCGUGGGCUCUCUGGCGGUCGAUACUGGGCCGCCGGGGGCUGAGGGCUCCCCUACUUUUUUUUCUUUUUUAAAAAAAUGGGUUUCAGAGGACGACAGAGUAACAACGCGAUUCGACCCGUCUUGAAACACGGACCAAGGAGUCUAGCGCGGCUGCGAGUCAAAGGGUGUAUUUUUUUUGAAUAAACCUGAGGGCGUAGUGAAAGCGAGUUUCAUUGCGAAAAUGAGCGCAGUUUGAGGCGGCAUAAGAUCGUCGAUUUUAAGACCGACCUGGAGCAGUCGCGCUGGGACCCGAAAGAUGGUGAACUAUGCCGGAGUAGGGCGAAGCCAGAGGAAACUCUGGUGGAGGCUCGUAGCGGUGCUGACGUGCAAAUCGCUCGUCCAACUUGGGUAUAGGGGCGAAAGACUAAUCGAACCAUCUAGUAGCUGGUUCCCUCCGAAGUUUCUCUCAGGAUAGCGGGCCGACGAGAUGUUGUUUUGUGCGGUAAAGCGAAUGAUUAGCGCACUCGGGGGCUUUCAGCCUUUGGGCGAUUCUCAAACUUUAAAUGCGCAAGGGUGCUGCUGCUUUCUCUUGAGCGGUACCUCCAAAAACGUCGGCCCCGUGGGCCACUUUUGGUAAGCAGAACUGGCGAUGCGGGAUGAACCGUAAGUGUGGUUAAGGCGCCAAACUGUCCGCUUACAGACCCCAAAAAAGGCGUUGAUUCAUCCAGACAGCAGGACGGUGGCCAUGGAAGUCGGAAUCCGCUAAGGAGUGUGUAACAACUCACCUGCCGAAUGAAUUAGCCCUGAAAAUGGAUGGCGCUUAAGCGGCCUGCCGAUACCACGCCGUCUAAACUAUAUAUACUAAGUUUGGAUGAGUAGGAGGGCGUGGCGGUCGUGUYGAAGCUUUYUGCGUGCAAACGCCAGUGGAACGACCGCUAGUGCAGAUCUUGGUGGUAGUAGCAAGUAUUCAAGCGAGAUCCUUGAAGGGCGAAGCGGGGAAGGGUUCCACGCGAACAUCGAUUGGGCGUGGGUGAGUCGUUCCUAAGCCGACUGGCAAUCGCUAUGUGACCGGCGAAAGGGAAGCGGGUUGACAUUCCCGCACACGGAUGUGGACGCGGUGACGCGUUAUUUGGGGGCGAACACGCUGGCGACGGCGCUGGGCAGAGUUGUCUUUUCUGUUUGACCGUGAUCUCGCACGCUGUGUGGAAUCCGCUUGUCGGGAGAAACACGCUUGCCGGGGCAGAGCGCCGGGCCUUUUCCGGCGUCCAGCUCGCCGUCGACGGCCCUUGAAACUUUGCCUGAUACUUUUUUUUAAAAAAAAAAUUCCACGCCGUGGCGUACCGAUAACCGCAUCAGGUCCCCAAGGUGAACAGCCUCUGCUCAAUAUGAUUAAUGCAGGUAAGGGAAGUCGGCAAAUUCGACCCGUAACUUUGGAAUAAGGGUUGGCUCUAGUGCUGCGUGGGAGUGGUUGCUGAAUCCGCUGGGUCCGUGCGCCAGGCCGGUCUGAGCGCGGGGGAGUCUCUCUUCCGCUGUCCUUAUAAUAGAUAGCGCGCUGAGCGGACUCCCCUGUUCUUGGCUGCCGAGUCCGCUGCGAACCCGCAUUCGGCGACGCCCACAGCAUGCAGCAAACUAGAACUGCAACGGGCAAAGGGAAUCCGACUGUUUAAUUAAAACAAAGCAUUGCGAGGGCCGUGGCCGGUGUUGACGCAAUGUGAUUUCUGCUCAGUGCUCUGAAUGUCAAAGUGAAGAGAUUCAAUCAAGCGCGGGUAAACAGCGGGAGUAACUAUGACUCUCUUAAGGUAGCCAAAUGCCUCGUCAUCUAAUUAGUGACGCGCAUGAAUGGAUUAACGAGAUUCCUACUGUCCCUAUCUGCUUCUAGCGAAACCACAGCCGGGGGAACGGGCUCGGCAGAAUCGGCGGGGAAAGAAGACCCUGUUGAGCUUGACUCUAUUCUAAUUUUGUCAAGCAAGUUGGGAGGUGUAGCAUAGGUGGGAGAGGCGGAAUUCCACUGGGGUCUUGUUUUCGCGUUUUUUUUGAAAACAAACAAAACACUUCCCCUUUUCCGUUCCUCGUCCGUGAAAUACCACUACUCCCAGUCUUGCUUUACUUACUGGGUUGGUGUGGGUGAGCCUCAACACCGCUCUUUUCUGGAUCCAACGUUUUUUUGGCACCCCCAAAAAAGCAGACCACAGCCCAGUACACAUUUAGGAGGGGAGUUUGGCUGGGGCGGCACAUCUUCUACAAGACAACGAAGGUGUCCAAAGAUAAGCUCAGUGAGAACAGAAAUCUCACGUAGCGCAAAAGGGUAAAAGCUUGUUUGAUUUCGAUUUUCAGUGCGAGUCGAAAACGCGAAAGCGUGGCCUAUCGAUCCUUUCACUAUUCGAGAUUUGAAGCGAGAGGUGUCAGAAAAGUUACCACAGGGAUAACUGGCUUGUGGCGGCCAAGCGUUCAUAGCGACGUCGCUUUUUGAUCCU